UACGAAGGGGGCUAGCGUUGCUCGGAAUUACUGGGCGUAAAGGGCGCGUAGGCGGACAGUUUAGUCAGAGGUGAAAGCCCAGGGCUCAACCUUGGAAUUGCCUUUGAUACUGGCUGUCUUGAGUUCGGGAGAGGUGAGUGGAAUGCCGAGUGUAGAGGUGAAAUUCGUAGAUACUCGGCGGAACACCAGUGGCGAAGGCGACUCACUGGCCCGAUACUGACGCUGAGGCGCGAAAGCGUGGGGAGCAAACAGG
rnacentral:rRNA from 1 species